rnacentral:rRNA from 1 species
UACGUAGAGUGCGAGCGUUGUCCGGAAUUAUUGGGCGUAAAGAGCUCGUAGGCGGUCUGUCGCGUCGAUCGUGAAAACUUGGGGCUUAACCCUGAGCUUGCGGUCGAUACGGGCAUGACUGGAGUUCGGCAGGGGAGACUGGAAUUCCUGGUGUAGCGGUGAAAUGCGCAGAUAUCAGGAGGAACACCGGUGGCGAAGGCGGGUCUCUGGGCCGAUACUGACGCUGAGGAGCGAAAGCCAGGGGAGCAAACGGG